rnacentral:rRNA from 1 species
UACGUAGGGUGCGAGCGUUAAUCGGAAUUACUGGGCGUAAAGCGUGCGCAGGCGGCUCGUUAAGUUCGUUGUGAAAGCCCCGGGCUCAACCUGGGAACUGCAAUGGAAACUGGCGGGCUUGAGUGUGGCAGAGGGGGGUGGAAUUCCGCGUGUAGCAGUGAAAUGCGUAGAGAUGCGGAGGAACACCGAUGGCGAAGGCAGCCCCCUGGGCCAACACUGACGCUCAGGCACGAAAGCGUGGGGAGCAAACAGG